GAUGAACGCUGGCUACAGGCUUAACACAUGCAAGUCGAGGGGAAACGACGGGGAAGCUUGCUUCCCCGGGCGUCGACCGGCGCACGGGUGAGUAACGCGUAUCCAACCUGCCUCUGACUGAGGGAUAACCCGUCGAAAGUCGGCCUAAUACCUCAUGGCAUCGUCUGCGGGCAUCCAACGACGAUUAAAGAUUUCAUCGGUCAGGGAUGGGGAUGCGUCUGAUUAGCUUGUUGGCGGGGUAACGGCCCACCAAGGCUACGAUCAGUAGGGGUUCUGAGAGGAAGGUCCCCCACAUUGGAACUGAGACACGGUCCAAACUCCUACGGGAGGCAGCAGUGAGGAAUAUUGGUCAAUGGGCGGGAGCCUGAACCAGCCAAGUAGCGUGCAGGAUGACGGCCCUAUGGGUUGUAAACUGCUUUUAUGCGGGGAUAAAGUGAGGGACGUGUCCUUCGUUGCAGGUACCGCAUGAAUAAGGACCGGCUAAUUCCGUG
rnacentral:rRNA from 1 species